rnacentral:rRNA from 1 species
GAUGAACGCUGGCGGCGUGCCUCAAACAUGCAAGUCGAGCGAGGCUAUGAGUUACCGCAAGGUAAGGCAUAGCCUAGCGGCGAACGGGUGAGUAACACGUGGGUAACCUACCUGGAAGACAGGGAUAACGAUUCGAAAGGGUCGCUAAUACCUGAUAAUAUCCAUCUGCCGGAUGGCGGAGGGAAGAAAGGGGAAACCCGCUUUCAGAUGGGCCCGCGUCCCAUCAGCUAGUUGGUAAGGUAAAGGCUUACCAAGGCGACGACGGGUAGCCCGGUCUGAGAGGAUGUACGGCCACACUGGGACUGAGAUACGGCCCAGACUCCUACGGGAGGCAGCAGUUGGGAAUCUUAGGCAAUGGACGAAAGUCUGACCUAGCGACGCCGCGUGAGGGAAGAAGGCCUUCGGGUUGUAAACCUCUGUCAUGGGGGAAGAAGGAAGUGACGGUACCCCAAGAGGAAGCCCCUGCUAACUACGUG